AUUGAACGCUGGCGGCAGGCCUAACACAUGCAAGUCGAGCGAGCGGCGGACGGGUGAGUAAUGUAUGGGGACUGCCCGAUAGAGGGGGAUAACUACUGGAAACGGUAGCUAAUACCGCAUACUAUCGGAUAACCCAUAUGGGAUUAGCUAGUAGUUGAGGUAAUGGCUCACCUAGGCGACGCACCCUAGCUGGUCUGAGAGGAUGAUCAGCAACACGGGGACGGAGAAACGGCCGAGACUCCUAGGGAGGCAGGAGUGGGGAAUAUUGCACAAGGGGCGAAAGCCUGAUGCAGCCAUGCCGCGUGUAUGAAGAAGGCCCUAGGGUUGUAAAGUACUUUCAGUCGGGAGGCGUUACCGACAGAAGAAGCACCGGCUAACUCCGUGCCAGCAGCCGCGUAAUUC
rnacentral:rRNA from 1 species